AUUGAACGCUGGCGGCAGGCCUAACACAUGCAAGUCGAGCGGAUGAAGGGAGCUUGCUCCUGGAUUCAGCGGCGGACGGGUGAGUAAUGCCUAGGAAUCUGCCUGGUAGUGGGGGAUAACGUCCGGAAAUGGGCGCUAAUACCGCAUACGUCCUGAGGGAGAAAGUGGGGGAUCUUCGGACCUCACGCUAUCAGAUGAGCCUAGGUCGGAUUAGCUAGUUGGUGGGGUAAAGGCCUACCAAGGCGACGAUCCGUAACUGGUCUGAGAGGAUGAUCAGUCACACUGGAACUGAGACACGGUCCAGACUCCUACGGGAGGCAGCAGUGGGGUAUAUUGGACAAAGGGCGAAAGCCUGAUCCAGCCAUGCCGCGUGUGUGAAGAAGGUCUUCGGAUUGUAAAGCACUUUAAGUUGGGAGGAAGGGCAGUAAGUUAAUACCUUGCUGUUUUGACGUUACCAACAGAAUAAGCACCGGCUAACUUCGUG
rnacentral:rRNA from 1 species